rnacentral:rRNA from 1 species
UACGUAGGGAGCAAGCGUUGUCCGGAAUCAUUGGGCGUAAAGCGCGCGUAGGUGGCCUCAUAAGUCCGCUGUGAAAGUCAAAGGCUCAACCUUUGAAAGCCGGUGGAUACUGUGGGGCUAGAGUACGGAAGAGGCGAGUGGAAUUCCAGGUGUAGCGGUGAAAUGCGUAGAUAUCUGGAGGAACACCUAUGGCGAAGGCAGCUCGCUGGGACGUUACUGACGCUGAGACGCGAAAGCGUGGGGAGCAAACAGG